UAUGGGGAUCGCCGUACAAUAUAUUAGUGUUUAAAUUUAAUAUUUAUUGUUCUAAAAUCACCAACAUGGCGGAGGAAGAAUCUUAAAUGUGCUACCUAAAUACGGCGGACCUACUCAGCAUUCGAGCAUGCUAUGAAGGAAAACUGCAUUCCCAAUAUCGGCAAGUUGGCCCACAUUGAUGGAGGAAAAUCCACCACCGAUCGGAUGCCAUUUUCUUCCGAAAAACGCACGCAAAGUACUACGCGGUGACGGACAUCGAGUUCGGUUCGACACGAUCGACAACUCUUUGCUGAUGCCGUCGUUCGUCGUGCCGGCUGCGCGUUUGUACCAUUUUUUUGCAUUUUCCUUUUUGAUCAGGCGUAUGAUGGAUCCUUUUAUUACAAUAAAGUGCGAAAGUAAAUUGAGAUCGUCCGAUAAAGCUGAGCAGUAUAAAACGGUGCGAAACUGGGUCCACCUCCAGUAGCAGUGGCAAUGACCACGAAUGACGCGGUUACCGCUUUCACCGCUGUUCCAAAAUACGACGGAAAACAGCAUUCCCAACAUCGGAAUCUUGGCCCACAUUGAUGAAGGAAACCACCGAGCGGCAAAACACACGCGAAGUUCCACACGGUGAAGUACUUCCUAAUGCAGAACCUCGAACACGGCAUCGCGGCUUGAAGUGAGGGAGAAAGCUUUGAUUGGCAAGACCAUCGGAUGAAUCUUCUGAGCACCCCGGGGCACAUAUCUUCCACGAUGGAAGAGGAACGGUCGCUCACAGCUGUCAACGGAACGGUGGUCAUUUUAGACGGAUUGGCGCAAACCGGUACCAUCUACAUUACGGAUCAAACAUCGAUAGGCAUCAACUUCCGCGGGUGAUUUUUGCUAAUUAAUAGGUAGAUGAUCGUUUUCGGCAGCACCCCAGUUUCUACCCCAACGCUCCCCAUGGAGCGGUUCUCCUAUUUUGAGUCUACUUCCACGAUUGGAUCGUAACUAUUUUUUUCACGGAGAAGUUUUUGUAAAUGUUGCAAAAUAA